UGGCCACACUUGCACACUAUAGAAAACUGCACCGGCUGGGACCUCAGGAGUGUGCACAAGCUGGCACUUUUUCCUAUAGUGUGCAUGUACGGCCACCACUGAAGGAUUACAGGGUGUCCACUUUCUGAAAAUAGGGUCAUCUGUGGGG